AGGGCUUAGUUUAAUUAAAGCGAUUGAUUUNCNUUCAGUAGAUGUAAGAUGGAGUCUUGCAGUCCUUA
rnacentral:tRNA from 1 species